GCUGUAAUGUGUGCGUAGUUUCCGUCUGUGUCUGGUAGCAGUGUCUGUCUGUGUUUUGCACUCAGAUCUUGCUAUCCACACAGACAUCAUGCAGCCAGAGAAUAACUUGGGAUCAUAGUACGGGUCUAGUGAUGUCUUUUUGGACAUAUCUACCACUGGCCAGCCUCCAAAUUCCCACACACAG
ensembl:snoRNA